rnacentral:rRNA from 1 species
UACGUAGGGGGCAAGCGUUGUCCGGAAUCAUUGGGCGUAAAGCGCGUGUAGGCGGCUUGAUAAGUCUGCUGUGAAAGUCCAGGGCUCAACCCUGGGAUGCCGGUGGAUACUGUCGAGCUCGAGUCCGGAAGAGGCGAGUGGAAUUCCUGGUGUAGUCGGUGAAAUGCGCAGAUAUCAGGAGGAACACCAGUGGCGAAGGCAGCCUCGUGGGACGUACUGAC